AAGACUAUACUUUCAAGGGUCCUUUCUAACUAUCUUACUAGAGAAGUCUCUGUGAUCAUGUUGAGUACCAGAACCCAUUUGGAGGAGGCAUACUCUUUUCAUCUGAGCAUGAAACCAGCUCUUGGUGAUGCUGCGUUGCAGCACCUAUUUGUCAUUGAUGAUCAUUCUCCUCCUUUGGAGGAACAAGAGGGUGAGGAUGUUGUGUAAGUGGU
rnacentral:snoRNA from 1 species